rnacentral:rRNA from 1 species
GCUACAAAGCUAGCUCUAACUAUAUAGCAAAGUUAAUAAUCUAAUUACCUACUUAACAACAAAAAAAUAGAAACCAAAUCAUUUGACCUUCCCAGUAUGGGCGACAGAAAAGAAUUCCCAGAAGCAAUAGAAAAA